rnacentral:rRNA from 1 species
GAUGAACGCUGGCGGCGUGCCUAAUACAUGCAAGUCGAGCGCAUGGCCGAAAGGCUUUCUUCUCUUCUGUUAACUGCCGACGGGUUGGUAAACCGUUGAUCACCUUCCUAUAAGACUGGGAUAACUUCGUGAAACCAGAGCUUAUACCGGAUUAUAUUUUAAUCUGCCUUGUUACAAAGUUAAAAACGGCCUUGCUGUCACUUAUAGAUGGAUCCGCGCUGCAUUAGCUAGUUGGUGAGGUAACGGCUUACCAAGACAACGAUGCAUAGCCGACCUGAGAGGGUGAUCGGCCACAUUGGAACUGAGACACGGUCCAGACUCCUACGGGAGGCAGCAGUAGGGAAUCUUCCGCAAUGGGCGAAAGCCUGAUGGAGCAACGCCGCGUGAGUGAUGAAGGUCUUCGGAUCGUAAAACUCUGUUAUAAGGGAAGAACAGAUGGGAAAGGAAAUGUGCACAGCUUGACGGUACCAAAUCAGAAAGCGACGGCUAAAUACGUG